UCCCUCACCCCUUGGGGACAGCGUGACGCUGGAGGUGACUCCCACACCUAUACCCCCAGGUGAUGCUGGGGAUGAACACAGCCAAAUACCUGCACCCCCCAGGGCUGAGUUGGUGUCCCAUGGGAACCUGGUGGUGGCGGUGCUGAGGGGCUGCGCUGCUGCCCUCAUCUUUAGCCUCGGCAUCUUCUUUGUCAUCGAUGCCCGCAGACUCUGGAUACAGAGAGAUGGGCUGACACAAACAUCCCCGAGGCCCCCGGGCAGUUUCAGGUAAGGGAAACCUCAAGGUGAGGGAUCCUAAAUGCCAACCUGCCCCUUGCACACCUCAUCCUCCAAUUGGACCCUCCACCUCAUACAGCUUACUCUACACUUACGUGCGGCCCCAGAUCCUGACCAUGAGGAAACACAAAUCUGCAUUGUGGAGACCCCCCCAGGCCCCAGAUCAA